ACUGCAAGUCGUACGAUGACCCCGUGCUUGCACGGGUGAUUAGUGGCGAACGGGUGAGUAACACGUGAGUAACCUGCCCCUGACUCUGGGAUAAGCCCGGGAAACUGGGUCUAAUACUGGAUAUGACCUUUAACCGCAUGGUUUUUGGUGGAAAGAUUUAUCGGUUGGGGAUGGACUCGCGGCCUAUCAGCUUGUUGGUGAGGUAAUGGCUCACCAAGGCGACGACGGGUAGCCGGCCUGAGAGGGUGACCGGCCACACUGGGACUGAGACACGGCCCACACUCCUACGGGAGGCAGCAGUGGGGAAUAUUGCACAAUGGGCGAAAGCCUGAUGCACGCGCCGCGUGAGGGAUGACGGCCUUCGGGUUGUAAACUCUUUCAUGGGAAGAGCGAAGUGACGGUACCUGCCAAGAACGCCGGCUCCUACGUGCCCCAGCCGCGGUAAUACGUAGGGCGCAGCGUUUCCGGAUUUAUUGGGCGUAAGAGCUCGUAGGCUGCUUGUCGCGUCUGCGUGAAAUCCGAGGCUCACCUCGGAUCUGCGGUGGGUCGGGCGACUACAGUGAUGUAGGGAGACUGGAGUUCUGGUGUACGAUGAAUGCCAGAUUCAUGAGGACACGAUGGCGACGCAGGGUCUGGGCUCUCUGACCUUAGGACGAAGCAUGGGAGCAACAGAUAGAUCCCUGUAGUCCUGCGUAACUUGGCACUAGUGUGGGAAAUUCACGUUUCCCGCUAGCUAAGCUUAGUGCCCGCUGGGAUACGCCGUAGCUAACUCAAUGAUUACGGGAAGCGAUUCGUUAACUGCAGAUAUCCUUAGGAUGUAAUCGACUGUGAU
rnacentral:rRNA from 1 species